rnacentral:rRNA from 1 species
GAGUUUGAUCGUGGCUCAGAUUGAACGCUGGCGGCAUGCCUUACACAUGCAAGUCGAACGGCAGCACGGGAGCUUGCUCCUGGUGGCGAGUGGCGAACGGGUGAGUAAUGCAUCGGAACGUAUCCUGGAGUGGGGGAUAACGUAGCGAAAGUUACGCUAAUACCGCAUAUUCUGUGAGCAGGAAAGCGGGGGACCUUCGGGCCUCGCGCUCUUGGAGCGGCCGAUGUCGGAUUAGCUAGUUGGUGAGGUAAAGGCUCACCAAGGCGACGAUCCGUAGCAGGUCUGAGAGGAUGAUCUGCCACACUGGAACUGAGACACGGUCCAGUCUCCUACGGGAGGCAGCAGUGGGGAAUUUUGGACAAUGGGGGCAACCCUGAUCCAGCCAUGCCGCGUGAGUGAAGAAGGCCU